CUGACACCAGUACGCCAGUGGGGCGCGGGUCCCGGAAUGAGAGCGCGAGGGUGGGGCUGCGCCAUGGCGCGCCUUGCGGUUCUCCCAGGGCCGCAGCGGAUCCUACUCCCCGCCCGCCGUAGCCGCAAGGAGUGGCAUUUUCAUACAUUUCCCAGAGAUAUUUGACCUUGGAACUUUUUUCUGGGACCAUCUGGAAGGCGGAAGUUUCCAAACUGGAGAUUCCAGUAGUACGCAGUCAGGUGAAGCAUAAUAAUGCAAACUUCUUGAAAUUCUAUAUGGUCACCACCAGAUGGAGCUUUCACCUCUAUUUUUCUUUUUGGUUUAAUCUGUUUUCUAAGGUAAAUAAAGCACUUGCAGUUGUUUCUAACAUGGAUUCUCUUCCAUUUGUUCAGAUGGUGACAUUAUAAGGCACUGGCCAAGUAUUUGGGGACUACUCACUAGAAAAAGUAAUCCUCAGCCUCAGUAGUGUGUCGAGUCCAUAUACUUACAUCUGUCUGAUGUUCUAGUCUGCACACACAAUGACCACAGUCAUGUCAGAUAUGAUAGUAAAUAGGCUGA